rnacentral:rRNA from 1 species
CAGUCGCCGCGGGAAUACGAAGGGGGCUAGCGUUGCUCGGAAUUACUGGGCGUAAAGGGCGCGUAGGCGGCGCUCCAAGUUAGGCGUGAAAUUCCCGGGCUCAACCUGGGGACUGCGCUUAAGACUGGAGUGCUUGAGGAUGGAAGAGGGUUGUGGAAUUCCCAGUGUAGAGGUGAAAUUCGUAGAUAUUGGGAAGAACACCGGUGGCGAAGGCGGCAACCUGGUCCAUUACUGACGCUGAGGCGCGAUAGCGUGGGGAGCAAACAGGAUUAGAGACCCCGGUAGUCCCUGUCUCUUAUAC